GUAAAUUUUACUCCAUGACCAAAUCAUAUGACAAAUCACAUGAUAAAUCAUGUAAUGUAAAGUCGACUUAACACUAGCUACCUAAUUGGUAAAAUCCACUGUACCAUCACCAUGCCAAUGCCCAUUAGUUGUCGAGGCAUUAGCUAAAUAAAAAAAAUUUCUAGUUAGUCAGCUGUUAUUUUUAUUAUAAAAAGUCAUAAAUUAUAUACAAAUAUAUUAAUAAAGUUUUAUAGUAUAUUUUAGUUUUUGAUAAGUAGAUUUUAGUAAGCUAAACUUACAGUAGAUUUUAUAAAUAAAAUGUGGCAACGCUGUGUUAGUGGCAGUUGGCAGUUUUGUUUUGUGCAUUUGAUAAACUUCACAAACUGAAAUGGCGGUUAAUAUGGAUUUUUCAAAAAAGAAAACAAGAUAUUGCAGCUGUUGUAUUGAUUCAUGUAAAAAUAUUGAAUAUAACAGUACUGGAUGCAGUUAUUAUAUUCGGAAACAUUGCGUACAUGUCCUGUAUCAACUAAAUCCUUUCCUUUUUUGGUGUUGCUGAUUGAAAUUGGAUAUCAUGGGAAAUAAGACUGAAUCCAGUAUAAUGUUUAAUAUCCAUUUUGAUAGAAUUCAAACAAAUUACAAUUCAUACAAAUUGCAAAUUUUAAUAAAGCAGUAAGCACACAAAAAUAAACAGAGGUAACCUUUAAAAUGUUAAAUAAUUCAUAUAAACUUAUUCUUUUUCUCAAUGGUCUCUUGCGUAAGCAGUCAUCCAGUCUCACGAACUUAUAUAUUAAAUAUUAUAAUUAUAAUGAAUAAAAUAAAAAAACAUAAUUAAUUUUACUAUUAAUUCUGUGUAUUCGUUUAGUAAUCAGGUAACAAUAAUAUUUCAGUUCAUAAUUUGUGUCUUUCUAGAUAAGUAUCUAUUUUUCUCGUUUUGUAUAUUUCACAUACAUAAAUUUUAUCAGAAAAGUAUAAGUUUCAAACCGCGAGAUAGCGCUACCGUCGAAACUCACAGCCAAUAGGUAAUAGGUAUUUAGUCCAUUCCGAAGUUGUAGUUUGUUUUGACAUUUCCGUUUUAUUUAACCUAACCUAUGUUUUGUGUUUUAUUGUGUUGUAUACAAGGAGUUGUAUAUUGAAAUUGAAUUGAUUCUUGUUUCAUUGAAUAUAGAGGAGUUGUUCUGUUGCAAGUUGUUCUAGUUUUGUUGUUUUAAAAUCUGCGAAAAACUAUUUAUAGAUAAUGGUGAACUUAAACAAGAAAUGGACAUGCAGUUUGCUGAUUACUUAAUUGUGUACUCACAACACAUAGGAUUUCUCUGACACAGUUUCCAGUACAGAACUGCCACAGGAAUCUCCAGUGGAGUUGCAACCGCUCUCACGGACGUCCACAAAUCAAGUUACAAAACUGUUACAUGACUCUAUUGGAGUUGCAACCGCAAUUGGAUAAAAGUGAAAUUCGAAUAAUGCCAGAAAGACUAUAACCGUCCAAAGUGAUAGUGUGAAAUUAAAAUCAAAUGAUUACGUAUAAAUCAUAUUUAUAAUAAUUAUAAAUAGUAGCUGUAUUUUUUAAAUAAACAGAUUUGAUAAGUUA